rnacentral:lncRNA from 1 species
AGCAUUUCGCCUCCACAACCCCCUCUCCCCGCUGGUCCAGGAGGGAGGCGGGACGUGGGGGCGCUGCCCAAGCCCCACUCCCGGUGUACGGGGGAGAGGGUGGAGGACCCAGAAAAACCCGUUUGAGGAAGAUGUGCCUCCCUGCGCGUUCAAGGUGUCAGGAGUGCUUGGUAAAUUUUUGGACACUCGCGUUCCAGCUGUACAUUCAGUUGAGGAAAUGCAGGCUUGUAUCCAAAAUGAAUUACCAUGAGCUAGCUAACAUAGCACAGAAGAUGGCAGGGUCACAGGGCCCAGGCCCCCUUCGGAGGGACUGAGCUUUCACCUGCGAAUCAGCGUCUUACUGGCACUUGGAGAAUGUGAAUGACAAUGUACUUGACUGCGGCUUUUCCUCUCCCCCCUUCAGAGGUUUUAUACACCUGAAAGAAGAGAAUGUCAAGACGAAGUAGCCGUUUACAAGCUAAGCAGCAGCCCCAGCCCAGCCAGACGGAAUCCCCCCAAGAAGCCCAGAUAAUCCAGGCCAAGAAGAGGAAAACUACCCAGGAUGUCAAAAAAAGAAGAGAGGAGGUCACCAAGAAACAUCAGUAUGAAAUUAGGGUAAUGCAGAACUGGGCUGGGUGGGUUUGGGGGAAAAAUGGAGGAUAGAUGAAUAAGAAUAGAAUUAUGUGUUUAUUGCUUUGCGAUAGAUUCCUCUGACACUUUUACUUUUAAUGCCCCUAGAGGUCAGCAGGAAGGCGCCUAUCUUUGGGUGGUUUCUAUGUGCCCGAAUCCUACUACAGCUGCAGAAUAAGUGCCUUCAAGCAGCUGGUUCCUUUUUGUAAAUCCCUCCCUCU